AUACGAAGGGUGCAAGCGUUACUCGGAAUUACUGGGCGUAAAGCGUGCGUAGGUGGUUGUUUAAGUCUGUCGUGAAAGCCCUGGGCUCAACCUGGGGAUGGCGAUGGAAACUGGGCGACUAGAGUGUGGCAGAGGGUAGUGGAAUUCCUGGUGUAGCAGUGAAAUGCGUAGAGAUCAGGAGGAACACCCGUGGCGAAGGCGACUGCCUGGGCCAACACUGACACUGAGGCACGAAAGCGUGGGGAGCAAACAGGAUUAGAUACCCUGGUAGUCCACGCCCUAAACGAUGCGAACUGGAUGUUGGGUGCAAUUUGGCACGCAGUAUCGAAGCUAACGCGUUAAGUUCGCCGCCUGGGGAGUACGGUCGCAAGACUGAAACUCAAAUGAAUUGGCGGGG
rnacentral:rRNA from 1 species